GUCAUUUAAUAUUUGUGUUCAAGUAUAUGUAUUAUAUCAUAUCUAAAAUUCACGGAAAACGUCACAUAUGACGUCAAUGUUGUUGUCAAUGUAUGACGUCAAUGUUGUCCAGGACACUCGACCAGCAUCUUUCAGAGCAUAAGAAAGACUUAGAAAAAGGCAGGGCAACAACAGCAUUAGCAGCAGCAACCUACAAAAGAGAUAUAUCAGUCAAGUGGAAAGCAGCAAAGGUAGUUAAGCCUUUGAGCAAGGUGAAGCACACAGUUUUAGUGGAAGCCAUGAAGAUAUAUGAAAGCGAAAAGAAU
rnacentral:lncRNA from 1 species